GAUGAACGCUGGCGGCGUGCUUAACACAUGCAAGUCGAACGGAAAGGCUCCUGCUUGCAGGGGUACUCGAGUGGCGAAAGGGUGAGUAACACGUGGGUGAUCUGCCCUGCACUUCGGGAUAAGCCUGGGAAACUGGGUCUAAUACCGGAUAGGACGAUGGUUUGGAUGCCAUUGUGGAAAGUUUUUUCGGCGUGGGAUGAGCUCGCGGCCUAUCAGCUUGUUGGUGGGGUAAUGGCCUACCAAGGCGUCGACGGGUAGCCGGCCUGAGAGGGUGUACGGCCACAUGGGGACUGAGAUACGGCCCAGACUCCUACGGGAGGCAGCAGUGGGGAAUAUUGCACAAUGGGCGCAAGCCUGAUGCAGCGACGCCGCGUGGGGGAUGACGGCCUUCGGGUUGUAAACUCCUUUCGCUAGGGACGAAGCGAAAGUGACGGUACCUGGAGAAGAAGCACCGGCUAACUACGUG
rnacentral:rRNA from 1 species